rfam:Chitinophaga jiangningensis strain DSM 27406 genome assembly, contig: Ga0131168_111
GAAGAGUAAACCGAAAAUCUUUAAGAGUAGGUA